UACGUAGGGCGCAAGCGUUGUCCGGAAUUAUUGGGCGUAAAGAGCUCGUAGGCGGCCUGUUACGUCUGCUGUGAAAUCCCGGGGCUUAACCCCGGGCGUGCAGUGGAUACGGGCAGGCUGGAGGCAGGCAGGGGAGAACGGAAUUCCCGGUGUAGCGGUGAAAUGCGCAGAUAUCAGGAGGAACACCGAUGGCGAAGGCAGGUCUCUGGGCAUUAACUGACGCUGAGGAGCGAAAGCAUGGGGAGCGAACAGG
rnacentral:rRNA from 1 species